UAACACCAGCCCCUCGAGUGGUGGGGACUUUUAUUUGGCCUAAAGCGUCCGUAGCUGGCUGUAUCCGUUUCCCGGCAAAUCCGGCGUCCUAAGCGUCGGGCUUCGGGUAAUACCAUACAGCUAGAGGGUGGGAUAGGUGAGCGGUAUUUCUGGGGUAGGGGCGAAAUCCUUUGAUCCCAGGAGGACCACCAGUGGCGAAGGCUGCUCACUAGAACACGCCUGACGGUCAGGGACGAAAGCUGGGGCAGCGAACCGGAUUAGAUACCCGGGUAGUCCCAGCUGUAAACGAUGCUAGCUAGGUGUUGGGUCGGCCACGCGCCGCCCCAGUGCCGCAGGGAAGCCGUUAAGCUAGCCGCCUGGGGAGUACGGCCGCAAGGCUGAAACUCAAAUGAAUUGACGG
rnacentral:rRNA from 1 species